UUUCCUCAGUGACCUGCAGAUGCUGCACCUGGAGAUGGGUGAUUAUCUCGAAGUGGAUGAAUCUGAGGACCAGGCAGGAAGGACCAGGAUCCUGAGCCUGGGGAUGCGUGAGCCCCCGAACUGAGCUCUGAGCUCUCAGCACUUGGCACAUCUCUCAUGAGAGCCUCACAGCCGCCCCUGGGAGCUGGGGCAUCAGGCCCAUCUUAGGGAUGAGUGAACAGAGGCUCCGCCUGAAACAUCCAUUCUCGUUCCUCAGGCUGGGGAAGCUCAGAGCUGCCUGAUGGCACAGCUGCGUGAGGUUUUAUCUGAGCUGGACUCUGCCUGUCCCUCCCAUGCUGCCCGUGGAGGGAGAGAGAAGUUGGAACCCCCAAGUCAGGCAGCACAUAAGUGGCUGAGCAGUCCCCUCUGCCUGAGGCCUCAGCCUCCAAGUCUGUCAUCAGAGAGGGUUGUGCUGCCAGGUCCCUCAGCCUCCCCCCAUGUCCUACUAGUCUGGAGCCCAGAGCCCAUCCUAGGUCCAAGUCCUGUUUUCUCUGCAUGCCCCGCCCCCUCUGGGGACCUGGCAGUAGUGCCACAUGAGAAGGGCAGGGCAUAGGGGGCUAGUCAGGCUAGGGGGCUCUGUCUGAUGGACUCUGGCUGUCUGCCUUCCAGGGGAAUGAGAUCAACCUUGAGAAGAGGACUGAGGAGCAGCUGUGGCACUCCCUGCAGGGGAGGGGAAGGAGGUGGAAAUCAGAAACCCUCUGGGGAGAACAGUUUCUGGCUCCACCCCUUGUAUCUUACAUUGAGUGGAAGAUUUUGGUAGAAGUCGAGACCCAUCCAGUUGGCGCGUGGGUUGAGGGGAGGAUGGCAUCAAGGAUAUCUUCCUGGAGGAGGGGCUGAUUAUUCCCAUUCUGAGAACAGGUAGAUCCUGGAUGGAACUGGAGGGAAGGAGCGUUCCCAGGACUGGUCCCCUGCCCCAGUCCUCACCCCCCACAAGGCCCCUGCAGCAUCCCCCACCCAGGCCCUGUCUGCAUCCUCUCCUUCCCUCUGGUCCCAGGAAUACCGAGUCAUGAGGGAGAUCCUGCUGCUCCAGGUCGCUGCAAAGAAUUAUAACAAGACCCCAAGGAGUGAUUUGGGGCCUGGUUCCAGGACAUGGAGCUGCUCAACGAGAAUGAGUCAAACACCAAGGGUAGAGGUCUUCAAGAGAUCAAGUCUAAUCUACCUACGGGUGUGGCAGGCUUACCUAUGGAUGUUCAAGCCAGACAUUGCCAGAAGAACUACAUCUCUUCACCCAUAGAAAAAUGAAUGAUGUGACCAUUUGGUGCAGGACAACAGCAUUAUGUUCACCAGUCUCUGUACUGUAUGUUACUGCACAGCACGGACUGUAGGAAAAAGCCCAGAGGAGCAAUGAAGACAAAGAAGACACGACACCUGCAAAAAGUCAGUGAAGUAUUUCUACACAACAAACCUUCCAGGCUGCCAUGAUCCUCCCUCUGGACCCUGUGGUCAGGGUCGCUGCAGAGAUCCUCCCUUUGGACCCCGCCUGCCUGAAGGGCCCAUACCUUGGUCAGGCAUCUUAGAAGGACUGCCGUGAGCCAUGUCAUAAAAAGGAGAAAACAUCACAUUGGACAGCCCCAAUUCCUGCAUAUACAGACGGGAAACUUAGGUGCACUGGGUCCCUUGAGAGUCCAUAUGAAUUUUAGGAUAGAUUUUUCUAUUUGUGCAAAAAACAUCAUUGGAAUUUUUACCUCCUUGAGUAAGUUGAUUCUUAAGUAUUUUUCUCUUUUUGAUGAUAUUGUAAAUAAAAAUGUAAAGUUUUUAAAUUUCUUUUUCAGAUUACUUAUUAUUAAUGUAUAGAAGAACAACUAAUUUUUUCAUGUUGAUUUUGUGUUCCACUACUCUGCAGAAUUUAUCAGUU